rnacentral:rRNA from 1 species
CCUACGGGAGGCAGCAGUGAGGAAUAUUGGUCAAUGGACGGAAGUCUGAACCAGCCAUGCCGCGUGCAGGAAGACGGCUCUAUGAGUUGUAAACUGCUUUUGUACAAGGGUAAACCUGAAUACGUGUAUUCAGCUGAAAGUACUGUACGAAUAAGGAUCGGCUAACUCCGUGCCAGCAGCCGCGGUAAUACGGAGGAUCCAAGCGUUAUCCGGAUUUAUUGGGUUUAAAGGGUGCGUAGGCGGAAUAUCAAGUCAGCGGUAAAAAUUCGGGGCUCAACCCCGUCGUGCCGUUGAAACUGAUGUUCUUGAGUGGGCGAGAAGUAUGCGGAAUGCGUGGUGUAGCGGUGAAAUGCAUAGAUAUCACGCAGAACUUCGAUCGCGAAGGCAGCCUACCGGCGCGCAACUGACGCUCAUGCACGAAAGCGUGGGUAUCGAACAGGAUUAGAUACCCUGGUAGUC